UACGUAGGGGGCAAGCGUUAUCCGGAUUUACUGGGUGUAAAGGGGGCGCAGACGGCAGCGCAAGCCAGGAGUGAAAGCCCGGGGCCCAACCCCGGGACUGCUCUUGGAACUGCGCGGCUGGAGUGCAGGAGGGGCAGGCGGAAUUCCUGGUGUAGCGGUGAAAUGCGUAGAUAUCAGGAGGAACACCGGUGGCGAAGGCGGCCUGCUGGACUGCAACUGACGUUGAGGCCCGAAAGCGUGGGGAGCAAACAGG
rnacentral:rRNA from 1 species